rnacentral:tRNA from 2 species
CGGGCCGUAGCGCAGCCCGGUAGCGCACUUGCAUGGGGGGCAAGGGGUCGGCGGUUCAAAUCCGCCCGGCCCGACCA